UACAGAGGUCUCAAGCGUUGUUCGGAUUCAUUGGGCGUAAAGGGCGCGUAGGCGGCUUGCUAAGUUGGAUGUGAAAACUCUGGGCUUAACCCAGAGCCUGCAUCCAAAACUGGCUGACUUGAGUACUGGAGGGGAGAGCGGAAUUCCUGGUGUAGCGGUGAAAUGCGUAGAUAUCAGGAGGAACACCGGUGGCGAAGGCGGCUCUCUGGACAGUAACUGACGCUGAGGCGCGAAAGCUAGGGGAGCAAACAGG
rnacentral:rRNA from 1 species